UACGUAGGGGGCAAGCGUUGUCCGGAUUUAUUGGGCGUAAAGAGCGUGUAGGCGGCCAUGCAGGUCCGUUGUGAAAACUCGAGGCUCAACCUCGAGACGCCGAUGGAAACCGCAUGGCUAGGAGUCCGGAAGAGGAGAGUGGAAUUCCGUGGUGUAGCGGUGAAAUGCGCAGAGUAUCAGGAAGAACACCCGUGGCUAAGGCGGCUCUCUAGUACGGUACUGACGCUGAGACGCGAAAGCGUGGGGAGCGAACAGG
rnacentral:rRNA from 1 species